UGUUGCCUUUGGUCACAUUGCAGUAACCAUUUCUUUUCCUCAACACAACAGCUAGAAGAAAGUCGAGUUUGGCAAACGCUCCUAAAAAUUAAAAAAUUGUCUGAAAUGGUAGUGUACAAGGCAAAUAGCCUGAUAAUGGCGGCUACUUGGAAAAUGGAUGCAGAAAAUGAUUUAAAUUUUACUGAAAUGCCAUGAAAAACCUACCACACGUGUUGCCGGGAUAAGUUAGAACUUCAUAUCCACGUGUUGAUACCAUGGCUUAUUUUCGAAUUUUUCCGCAUGAUAUGGAUCUGAUGUGCAGAAAAAUGAAUUUCUUCCACUUCUUAAAAGAUUUCACUGUCCUGAAGAAAAUAAUGAGAGAAGACCAUGAGAUGGUACUACGAUGAAGAUCAGGCUGACGAAGUACCAUUUUCAAUUGGAGCAUUAUUUGAUCGGCUCUAAGAGCUUGAUAGAGCUAUCCAAAGACGAGCCUUAGUUAAAGAGCAACGUCUUUAGGCUGUUAAUUUGGAAUGCUACCAAAAGGAAUAUAUUAAACAGAUCAGCGGCGUACCAAAAAUGGAAUUCUGAAAUUUUUAUUGUACAACCCAAACUUCUUGAAUAAAACUGCAUAAAAUGUGUUUAUUAUAACGUGA